rnacentral:rRNA from 1 species
UGGGGAAUAUUGCGCAAUGGGGGAAACCCUGACGCAGCGACGCCGCGUGAAGGAAGAAGGCCUUCGGGUUGUAAACUUCUUUGAUCGGGGACGAAGGUGACGGUACCCGAGGAACAAGCCACGGCUAACUACGUGCCAGCAGCCGCGGUAAUACGUAGGUGGCGAGCGUUGUCCGGAAUUACUGGGUGUAAAGGGCGUGUAGGCGGGGCGGCAAGUCAGAUGUGAAAUACCUCGGCUUAACUGGGGUGCUGCAACUGAAACUGUCGUUCUUGAGUGUCGGAGAGGAAAGUGGAAUUCCCAGUGUAGCGGUGAAAUGCGUAGAGAUUGGGAGGAACACCAGUGGCGAAGGCGGCUUUCUGGCCGAUAACUGACGCUGAGGCGCGAAAGCAUGGGGAGCAAACAGG